GCCAGCAGCCAUGUCAUCUGGCAACUCGUAGUCGGCAGUGCACUGAAGCUCAGCAGCUGUGAGCCUGGUCAGUACCUGGAUGGGAGACUCCUGGGAAAAACUAAGGCUGCUGCUGGAA
rnacentral:rRNA from 1 species